CCUACAGUCGACCAAACUAUCAACCCUAACCCACGCGGCCACGCCUCCCUCCUCCUCACUCUCAUCUCAUGUUUCUCUCUCUUCCUCACUCUCAUCUCACGUUUUGGUGCUCUCUCUUUCUUUCAGAUCUCACGAAAUCAGUGAAAGGAAUAAUAAAGAAGUAUCUCACCAACAACAUGGCCAAGUAUUCCAUAUAUUGGGUGGCGAUUUUGUUGUCAUUAUGCUACUGCACAUCAAUGGCAGAGGUAGAAUAUCUGAAAUACAAAGAUCCUAAGGAGCCAUUAGGUGCUAGAAGGAGGGAUCUUAUGAGUCGUAUGACCGUCGAGGAAAAGAUUGGGCAGAUGGUUCAAAUUGAAAGGAGUGUUGACUAAGAAUUACUUCAUUGGGAGUGUACUAAGUGGAGGAGGAAGUGUUCCUGCUGAGAAGGCUUCUCCUGAGAGUUGGAUCAAUAUGGUUAAUGAGUUCCAAAAUAAAUCUCUCUCGACUCGUCUUGGCAUUCCUAUGAUUUAUGGGAUUGAUGUUGUUCAUGGUCACAACAAUGUCUACAAGGCCACCAUUUUCCCUCACAAUGUAGGCUUGGGAGCUACUAGGGACCUAUACCAUCGUCAUUUUCUAAUUUAACCUCUUUACAGAAUUUGAGGAUAAGUGGUUUGUCAAAUAGCACCUUGUAUCGCUAUAUGUUUUUGGUGCUGCAACUGCUUUAGAAGUUAGAGCUACUGGCAUUCCCUAUGUUUUUGCACCUUGUAUCGCGGUUUGCAGAGAUCCUAGAUGGGGAAGGUGUUAUGAGAGUUAUAGUGAAGAGCCAAAAAUUGUCCAAGAGAUGACUCAAAUAAUAUCAGGUUUACAGGGUGAAAUCCCACACAACUCUAGAAAGGGUGUUCCCUUUAUUUCUGGACAGUAAGUGCUUCAAUUUUAAUCUUCUCAAACCAUAGACUUUGGAAAAUACAAGGGCAGAAUGCUAGGAACAAUGCCCUCAACUUACUUAAAAUGGGUGUCCAGCAACCUUAGAGACAGGGACUUUGAAGAGUGGGCUCAACUAGCUGAUCAAGUCCUCGAAGACCCGGUUGAUAAAGACCAUUUGGAGUGGGAGUCAGCUCAAAAACUCCUCAACGACGAUGUUUUGAAUGUGAACUCUAAGCCUGAAGAUAAAGUUGGUUGUUGAACUGCUAAAGGUGAGCCAGAGGUUUGGAUGAGAUAAUGAAGAUAAAGUUUGGUGGAGUAAGAUUGAUUUUCAGCUGCUUGGGACUUCUAAAGGUGGGAGAAUACCAAGGGUGAAGGAGAAGUCGGGUGAGGAGUUGGCAGGCAUGAAGAGAGUUGUAUUAGAUUUUAGUUACAAUGUAAUUAUACUAUUAUAGUACUAAAUUUUGGUAUUAGAUUGUAAUUAUAUAUAUUUAAUUGAAAUAAAAUUCUCAUUUGUUUAAUGCUCAA